rnacentral:rRNA from 1 species
AUUGAACGCUGGCGGCAUGCCUUACACAUGCAAGUCGAACGGCAGCACGGGAGCUUGCUCCUGGUGGCGAGUGGCAAACGGGUGAGUAAUACAUCGGAACGUACCCUGAAGUGGGGGAUAACGUAGCGAAAGUUACGCUAAUACCGCAUAUUCUGUGAGCAGGAAAGAGGGGGAUCGCAAGACCUCUUGCUUUAGGAGCGGCCGAUGUCGGAUUAGCUAGUUGGUGAGGUAAAGGCUCACCAAGGCGACGAUCCGUAGCGGGUCUGAGAGGAUGAUCCGCCACACUGGGACUGAGACACGGCCCAGACUCCUACGGAGGCAGCAGUGGGGAAUUUUGGGACAAUGGGCGCAAGCCUGAUCCAGCCAUGCCGCGUGAGUGAAGAAGGCC